CUACUCGAAAGAAGUACAAUGGUAGCACUCAUUGAAACCACAUGCUCUCUUGUGCUUUUUUAUCGCUUCUGUUCCGCCAUUGUUCCGCUAUUAAACUCUGGUGUUUUUAUUAAGAAACCGGCCAGUAUCAGCCUUUGGAAGUACUCUCCCGUACUAAGUGUCAUUGUGUAAGAAGAAAACUGCUCCAAGUUAUCCAGUCAGAAAUCUCAGAUCAAAAUCGUCCGAUACACCCGCACAAAGCAGAUCGCAGAUUAAGAUAAGAAACAGACAUCUGGUUAGGCAUAUUAGACCCAAUCAUUGCAAGGACACUCAAUCGAAUCUUUGGCGGAUUUUAGUAGGAGGACCUCUCGCACAGACGCGGGCCACGCUCCCCGCGGGGAACUUCCUAAAACCACAAACAAACUCCAUCGACAAUGGGCCCGGUCUCCGCAAACAACCCGAAGAAAAGCUAAGCCGCCUUUUAAUACUUGUUACCAUACAAGAUCCGCAGAAGAUACUGUAAAUAUACUGGAACGGUAGAUCCUUGAAAUGCAAUAUUCCGACGCGUUAUUGUUGAGGUUAUGUUUGCUGCUCUGUGCUCUUUUCAAGUCACCCACAAUGGGUACAGGAAUAUUAGGAGAUUAGGCUUUGUUAGGGCUUGUCCACUGUGUGCAUUAUGUGGCCUAUUAGGUAUUUACUUUUUUGUGCACGUCGAGAUUUUUGCUGCAGUUGAAUGUGUAAAUGGGUCAGAAAAUUCUAGCGAUUUGCUGGGGCAAUUCUGAUAUCGGAUUCGGAUUCAGCGGCUCAAAAUACAUGGGAAUACAUAUGCCGGACAAUGAUUUUCAGCAGCUGUUAAACCACAGAAACUAAUUUAUUAAUUUUUUGGAUUUUAACCUUUUUUAAGGUUAGGAAGAAUUUAUGACCUUUUGGGCCUAAUCUGACUUCGGAUUUGUGUUCAUCAGAUCAAGAUACAUGGGAAUAUAAAGAUCUGACCUAGCUUCAGCCGCUGAUAAAUCAAAUCUGGAUAUUAAAACCUGAAUUGUCUAUUUCGAGGAUUUUUAAGAAGCAUUUUUUGAUGUUAUAAAAUUCUGGCGAUUUGCAGGGGCAAUUCUGACAUCGAAUUCGAAUACAUAGGAAAGUAUUCUGGUCAUUUGCACACAAGACUUUUUUUGUGGCGUUGUGUAAUUUAAUAAUGGAAAGACAUUUUGUAAAAGGUAGUUGAUAGAACUCCUUGAUGACGUCAACUAAUGCCACAAGCAAAAUGUUUCCCAAGUAAAUUGUAGAUGGCGCAGUUGUCAAAAGAAGUUUUUUCGUUCGAGGGAACUUUGCAAAGCGGUUGUCUGUGGCCACUCUUAAAUUGUGCUCUAUAAAUAUUUUCUUCUAGGUUUUGUCACAAUUCCUGAUCACAAAAAACUGCACACUGAAAUAAAGUAUUGAACAAGUUUGGCAUAUCUUCCAUUAGCUAAACGUACACCAUUUUUUUUAAAAGCUCCCACAAGAAAAAAUCAAGUGGUGUCAAAUCCAUAAUAAAAGAAGAUCAGUUAAAUUCCUAUUUAAAAUACGAUAACAAACAUUUAUAUCGAGUUUAUUUUAUUUACCGUUAAUUGUUUUACAUCUUGGUAUAUUAUCGGACUGAUAAUGGUAAUUACGGGUAUUUUAAUAAGACCGUUACAAUGGACAUUCAUCACUCCAUCAAAUUAUCUUUAGAAUAUUAUUUUCAGUUUCGAGUCUCUCUAACUUUAUUGAUAUCCAAACUAUUAAAUUAUCGAAAUGAAAUUUAUUUAUGAUACCAUUUGGUUAAAAAUAAA